rnacentral:rRNA from 1 species
GCUAGAGUUUGAUCCGUGGCGUCAGGACGAACGACUGGCGGCGUGCGUUAACACAUGCAAGUCGAACGGGAGAUAGGAGAGCUUGAUCUUCCGUGUCUUAGUGGCGGACGGGUGAGUAACGCGUGAGGAAACCUUGCCUUACAAGGGGGAUAACGUUUGGAAACGAACGCUAAUACCGCAUGAUAUCUUUUUGCCGCAUGGGAAGAAGAUCAAAGGAGCAAUCCGCUGUAAGAUGGACUCGCGUCCGAUUAGCUAGAUGGCGGGAUAACAGCCCACCAUGGCGACGAUCGGUAGCCGGACUGAGAGGUUGAACGGCCACAUUGGGACUGAGACACGGCCCAGACUCCUACGGGAGGCAGCAGUGGGGGAUAUUGCACAAUGGGGGAAACCCUGAUGCAGCAACGCCGCGUGAAGGAAGACGGUCUUCGGAUUGUAAACUUUUGUACACAGGGACGAUAAUGACGGUGCCUGUGCAGCAAGCUCCGGCUAACUACGUGCC